CCACUUGAAGUGAGAGUUAGAUGGAACUGAACGACCUCCGAUCGGCCACCUGUUGAUUUGGGUGUUGUUCAGUUUCCUCUAAUAUCUCACUUUGGAUGG
rfam:Triticum urartu cultivar G1812 contig116680, whole genome shotgun sequence.